CUGGGAAAAUACCAAGGUGUAUGUAUUACUGAGUCUUCGAUCUUGAAUUCUUUAUAAAUUAUGAAGAAACUUAUUCAUCACUUAGAAGUUAGAUCUUAGAAUUUAUGCAAUGCAAUUCUCAGUUUGUUCAUCAUUCUAGCUUGCAUAGAUUAAAACAUGAAUCCAGUAGAGCUAUAUUCACCAUAUUUCAGACCAUGAGCAUACAAGUUUUUUUCCUGGAUUUGCCAUUGCAUGUACCCCCUUCUUUGUGUUGUCACCUUGGGGUAGACAAUAGAUGAGCCAGCGGCCAGCCGCACGGGAGAUAGAGGUUAAUAUACUAAUUAUCAGCUUUCUUCAUAAAACUCAUUAUGAUAGGAUGCAUUCACAUAGAAAUACACACUUUAUAUGAGUCAUAUAUGUUGUACUACAUACAUCUCCCUUAUUAUAUUUACCUACACUUCUUUUGAGAAAAAUGUAGUACAGCCUCACUACUUAGAAGCAACCGAGAAUAUAAAUUAUUAUUGUGCUGUCUAGUAUUGAACUUGCUUAAUUUGGAAAGGGAUGCAACUCUUUAGUGAUCACCUACUGGUUUUUCCUUUUCCAAGCGAUGAUGAUGGUUGCUGCUUGCUAUUAGAUUUGUUAGGCACGGGAUUUGAAAUUGGUCAUGGAUUCAAGGCACCUUCAAGCAAAUAAACAUUGUAGCGGCUAAACUGAAUGUUUCCAGUAGCUGCAGAAAAUAAUAUAUGAGUCAGUAUCCAUUUGUCACUAUCCACAAAAUCACUGGCUCUGAACUAUUUAAGAAGAGAUGUAACUCAGUAUAUUUGUUUCUUCUCUUGGAGUGGAAAUUCUUUGCAAUUGGCUAAAUGAGAUAUUUAUUUUUUCUCUAAUGAGCGUAUACCAUAUUAAUUAAUAUUUGUAUGUUUGAGUACACAUAACCUAUAUUUCAGUACUUAACACCUUUAUGAAUUGUUUUGUUGGGCAUUCUCAUAAUCCAUUCCAUGACAAGGAUUUAUUAUAUAUGAGGAUUUAGAAUAAAUGAAGGAACAUCCAAAUGCCACUGAAUUGCAUAGAAUGUACGUUGCAUUAAGCAACCACAUGAGUGGUGUGCCUGAUCUUCGCCUACAAGUUUGGACCAUUACAAUUGGACAUUUCAGGGAUCAGCUCUCGCAUCCACCAAAGUGAUGCUGCAAAGAAACUCAUGUACUGAAAUUGCUUUGGUAUUUUGAGCCAUGGUAUGUGAAGAGAACACAUGUUGUCUAUGUGUCGUUCUUUUCAGUUAGGAUAGAUGUUUGGGUUGCCGCAUGCAGCAGGAUAUUUGACAAUACUACAUCCAGUAUGGCUGCUAUGUCAUGGCUACGAAACAAACCCCAUGCUCUGGAUGGAAACCUUGCUUUGCCACUAGAGUUGUCUACUCAAAAUUAUUUUUUGUGUUGCCAUGGAAGUCCCGAAUUUUUUGCGGAGAAUUGAGUUUUGAAGUCCAUGAUGACAAUAACGGCCUUGGAAAUGAGAAUGAUCUUCAAGUGUUUUAGUUUUGCACUUGACCAAUUUUCAUUAUCUUGAAAGUGCAGAGUAGCAUGUCAAUGUGCUAAGUACGAUUCAAGACACUUUUAUUCCUACACCAUUGGUUUUCUGGUUGCUGCAUGGCUCAUAAUGUGUUGUACUUUCAAAAUCGCUUUUAAGCUUACUCAAUUUUGCUCAUCAAAUGAUAAGUCCAGUUCUUAUAUAA